UACGUAGGGUGCGAGCGUUAAUCGGAAUUACUGGGCGUAAAGCGUGCGCAGGCGGUUUUGUAAGUCUGUCGUGAAAUCCCCGGGCUCAACCUGGGAAUUACGAUGGAGACUGCAAGGCUAGAAUCUGGCAGAGGGGGGGUAGAAUUCCACGUGUAGCAGUGAAAUGCGUAGAGAUGUGGAGGAACACCGGUGGCGAAGGCAGCCCCCUGGGUCAAGAUUGACGCUCAUGCACGAAAGCGUGGGGAGCAAAUAGG
rnacentral:rRNA from 1 species